GAUUAUGGCUCAGGAUGAACGCUAGCUACAGGCUUAACACAUGCAAGUCGAGGGGCAGCAUAACGAAAGCUUGCUUUGUUGAUGGCGACCGGCGCACGGGUGGGUAACGCGUAUCCAACCUUCCCCUUAGUAGGGCAUAGCCCGGCGAAAGUCGGAUUAAUACCCUAUGUUCUUCGUCGAGGACAUCUGAAAUGGAGCAAAGGUUUACCGCUAAGGGAUGGGGAUGCGUCUGAUUAGGUAGUAGGCGGGGUAACGGCCCACCUAGCCGACGAUCAGUAGGGGUUCUGAGAGGAAGGUCCCCCACACUGGUACUGAGACACGGACCAGACUCCUACGGGAGGCAGCAGUGAGGAAUAUUGGUCAAUGGGCGCAAGCCUGAACCAGCCAAGUAGCGUGCAGGACGACUGCCCUAUGGGUUGUAAACUGCUUUUAUGCGGGGAUAAAGUGAGGGACUUGUCCCUUUUUGCAGGUACCGCAUGAAUAAGGACCGGCUAAUUCCGUGCCAGCAGCCGC
rnacentral:rRNA from 1 species